rnacentral:rRNA from 1 species
GAUGAACGCUGGCGGCGUGCCUAAUACAUGCAAGUCGAGCGAACAGACGAGGAGCUUGCUCCUCUGACGUUAGCGGCGGACGGGUGAGUAACACGUGGAUAACCUACCUAUAAGACUGGGAUAACUUCGGGAAACCGGAGCUAAUACCGGAUAAUAUAUUGAACCGCAUGGUUCAAUAGUGAAAGACGGUUUUGCUGUCACUUAUAGAUGGAUCCGCGCCGCAUUAGCUAGUUGGUAAGGUAACGGCUUACCAAGGCAACGAUGCGUAGCCGACCUGAGAGGGUGAUCGGCCACACUGGAACUGAGACACGGUCCAGACUCCUACGGGAGGCAGCAGUAGGGAAUCUUCCGCAACGGGCGAAGGCCUGACGGAGCAACGCCGCGUGAGUGAUGAAGGUCUUCGGAUCGUAAAACUCUGUUAUUAGGGAAGAACAAAUGUGUAAGUAACUAUGCACGUCUUGACGGUACCUAAUCAGAAAGCCACGGCUAACUACGUG